rnacentral:rRNA from 1 species
GUGCCAGCCGCCGCGGUAAUACGUAGGGAGCAAGCGUUGUCCGGAUUUACUGGGUGUAAAGGGUGCGUAGGCGGCUCUGCAAGUCAGGCGUGAAAGCUAUGGGCUUAACCCAUAGACUGCGUUUGAAACUGUGGAGCUUGAGUGAAGUAGAGGUAGGCGGAAUUCCCGGUGUAGCGGUGAAAUGCGUAGUGAUCGGGAGGAAAACCAGUGGCGAAGGCGGCCGAC